rnacentral:tRNA from 1 species
GGGCCCGUGGCUUAGCCUGGCUAGAGCACUCGACUGAUAAUCGAGAGGUCGUGCGUUCAAAUCGCGCCGGGCCCA